rnacentral:lncRNA from 1 species
GAAUUACCGAAUGUACUGGACAAUACAUAAUUGUAUAACACAAACUCCCACUAAAACUCAUAAUCCUCAACUGAUUUGACACCCAUGCGAGCAACAUGCUCAUGAAAUACUUUGGGUGGCAAUCCCUUAGUAAGCGGAUCCGCAAUCAUGGAGUAUCUACUGAUGUGCUCUAUGCACAAUUGUCCAUUUUGUACUCUUUCUUUACAACCCGAACUUGACGUCCAUAUGCUUUGGCUUCGUCAAACUAC